GUGAAAUGAUGAUCCAGUUUAUCCAUUCGCUGAGUACGCUGCACUGACCUUCUUCCAAGCCUGGGUUCCUGUUCUAGGAACUCUGGGUUACGUGGUUGCCAAAUGCCCUGCAGUCUGCUGUGUUCUACUGUGGACGGCUUGUGUGUUGGUGGACUACCGGUAAGAAUGGCUGGUGUCGGCAGGGAUGGGUCCCUGUGGGCUCAUCUCACCAAGAUGAGUGGUGGAAAUCUGAUCAC
ensembl:snoRNA